UGGCCUGUGAUGCCUCGUUUAGAUUUGUAAACUGCGUUGCAAAAUGGCCGGGUAGUGUACAUGAUUCCCGUGUGUUUAGAGAAUCGUCUCUUGCUAGACUCUUCGAAACUGAGCGAGGUGGCACUGAGGUGAACGUGUCUGAAGAUGAGGUGGCACUGAGGUGAACGUGUCUGAAGAUGAGGUGGCACUGAGGUGAACGUGUCUGAAGAUGAAUCUUGACCCUCGCUGCAUGUUGAGAUGGAUGCCACCUGAUCCCUUUCCUUCUCUAAUUCCGUUAAAACAGAAUGAUGUAACUAUUCAAUGAUGCAUAAAAUAAAAAUAUGAGUAACUUUGA